GGGGUGUUAACUUAAGUUUUAAAGUGUCAAACUUUUAAUUUGAAAAUGUAUUUCACAUCUCAA
rnacentral:tRNA from 1 species